GCGCACCUGGAGGAGCUACUGGACCCGGGGCUGAGCUCUGCGCAGCUGGGACGGCACAGACUUCAGCUCCUCCAUCUUCCCUCUCCCUCUGCUUUCCCCACCUCAGGGCCUUUGCACCUGCUUGUUCCUCUGUCUGGAUGCUCUUCUUCCACCCUCCACUUGACCAGCUCCUUCCUACCACCCAGGUUUCUGCUCAAAGGCUCCCUUCUCAGAGAGCCCGUUCCUGACCCUCAUGUAUGACAGAGGUCCCCUCUCCCACGGAGACUCUCUUCCCUUCCUGGGUUUGCUUUUCUUUUUUCUUUUUGGUAGUGGGGAUUGAACCCAGAGGCACUAACCACAAGGCAACCUCCCCAUCUCCAGCCCCUUUUUCAUAGUUUAUUUAGAGACAGGGUCUCACU
rnacentral:lncRNA from 1 species